UUUGUGGGUGUGAUUCCUCACUGGAGAGU
rnacentral:piRNA from 1 species